GAGUAAUGUCUGGGAAACUGCCUGAUGGAGGGGGAUAACUACUGGAAACGGUGGCUAAUACCGCAUAACGUCGCAAGACCAAAGAGGGGGACCUUCGGGCCUCUUGCCAUCAGAUGUGCCCAGAUGGGAUUAGCUAGUUGGUGAGGUAACGGCUCACCAAGGCGACGAUCCCUAGCUGGUCUGAGAGGAUGACCAGCCACACUGGAACUGAGACACGGUCCAGACUCCUACGGGAGGCAGCAGUGGGGAAUAUUGCACAAUGGGCGCAAGCCUGAUGCAGCCAUGCCGCGUGUAUGAAGAAGGCCUUCGGGUUGUAAAGUACUUUCAGCGGGGAGGAAGGUGUUGCGGUUAAUAACCGCAGCAAUUGACGUUACCCGCAGAAGAAGCACCGGCUAACUCCGUGCCAGCAGCCGCGGUAAUACGGAGGGUGCAAGCGUUAAUCGGAAUUACUGGGCGUAAAGCGCACGCAGGCGGUCUGUCAAGUCGGAUGUGAAAUCCCCGGGCUCAACCUGGGAACUGCAUUCGAAACUGGCAGGCUUGAGUCUUGUAGAGGGGGGUAGAAUUCCAGGUGUAGCGGUGAAAUGCGUAGAGAUCUGGAGGAAUACCGGUGGCGAAGGCGGCCCCCUGGACAAAGACUGACGCUCAGGUGCGAAAGCGUGGGGAGCAAACAGGAUUAGAUACCCUGGUAGUCCACGCCGUAAACGAUGUCUACUUGGAGGUUGUGCCCUUGAGGCGUGGCUUCCGGAGCUAACGCGUUAAGUAGACCGCCUGGGGAGUACGGCCGCAAGGUUAAAACUCAAAUGAAUUGACGGGGGCCCGCACAAGCGGUGGAGCAUGUGGUUUAAUUCGAUGCAACGCGAAGAACCUUACCUGGUCUUGACAUCCACAGAACUUUCCAGAGAUGGAUUGGUGCCUUCGGGAACUGUGAGACAGGUGCUGCAUGGCUGUCGUCAGCUCGUGUUGUGAAAUGUUGGGUUAAGUCCCGCAACGAGCGCAACCCUUAUCCUUUGUUGCCAGCGGUCCGGCCGGGAACUCAAAGGAGACUGCCAGUGAUAAACUGGAGG
rnacentral:rRNA from 1 species